GCCUGGGUGGCUCAGUUGGUUAAGCAUCUGACUUCAGCUCAGGUCAUGAUCUCCCAGUUUUUGGGUUCGAGUCCCACAUUGGGCU
rnacentral:tRNA from 1 species